UGCCAGCAGCCGCGGUAAUACGGAGGGGGUUAGCGUUGUUCGGAAUUACUGGGCGUAAAGCGCACGUAGGCGGAUUAGAAAGUUAGAGGUGAAAUCCCGGGGCUCAACCCCGGAACUGCCUCCAAAACUGCCAGUCUAGAGUUCGAGAGAGGUGAGUGGAACUCCAAGUGUAGAGGUGAAAUUCGUAGAUAUUUGGAAGAACACCAGUGGCGAAGGCGGCUCACUGGCUCGAUACUGACGCUGAGGUACGAAAGUGUGGGGAGCAAACAGGAUUAGAUA
rnacentral:rRNA from 1 species